UACGAUCAUCUCAAGUUGAAACACCGGUUCUCGUACGAUCACCGAAGUUAAGUAGCAUCGAGCGUUGUCAUUACCUACAUGGGUGACCACUUGGGAAUACCAGGAGCUGUAA